UACGAGGGGGGCAAGCGUUGUUCGGAAUUAUUGGGCGUAAAGGGCGCGUAGGCGGCGCGGUAAGUCUGAUGUGAAAUCUCCGGGCUCAACUCGGAGUCUGCAUCAGAAACUGCCGUGCUCGAGUGUGGGAGAGGUGAGUGGAAUUCCCGGUGUAGCGGUGAAAUGCGUAGAUAUCAGGAGGAACACCAAUGGCGAAGGCAGCUCGCUGGGACGUGACUGACGCUGAGACGCGAAAGCGUGGGGAGCAAACAGG
rnacentral:rRNA from 1 species